rnacentral:rRNA from 1 species
AUUGAACGCUGGCGGCAUGCUUUACACAUGCAAGUCGAACGGCAGCACGGGGGCAACCCUGGUGGCGAGUGGCGAACGGGUGAGUAACACAUCGGAACGUGUCCAGUUGUGGGGGAUAACCCAUCGAAAGGUGGGCUAAUACCGCAUGAGCUGGCAACAGGAAAGCGGGGGGACCCGCAAGGGCCUUGUGCGAUUGGAGCGGCCGAUGUCCGAUUAGCUAGUUGGUGGGGUAAAGGCCUACCAAGGCUUCGAUCGGUAGCUGGUCUGAGAGGAUGAUCAGCCACACUGGGACUGAGACACGGCCCAGACUCCUACGGGAGGCGGCAGUGGGGAAUUUUGGACAAUGGGGGCAACCUGAUCCAGCCAUGCCGCGUGAGUGAAGAAGGCCUGGUUGUAA